rnacentral:rRNA from 5 species
AAAACUUUCAACAAUGGAUCUCUUGGUUCCGGCAUCGAUGAAGAACGCAGCGAAAUGCGAUAACUAAUGUGAAUUGCAGAAUUCAGUGAAUCAUCGAGUCUUUGAACGCACAUUGCGCCCCCUGGUAUUCCGGGGGGCAUGCCUGUCCGAGCGUCAU